rnacentral:rRNA from 1 species
UACGUAGGGUGCGAGCGUUGUCCGGAAUUAUUGGGCGUAAAGGGCUCGUAGGCGGUUUGUCGCGUCGGGAGUGAAAACACUGGGCUUAACUCAGUGCCUGCUUUCGAUACGGGCAGACUAGAGGCAUGCAGGGGAGAACGGAAUUCCUGGUGUAGCGGUGAAAUGCGUAGAUAUCUGGAGGAAUCACCGGUGGCGAAGGCGGCAUCUGGACCGACAUUGACGCUGAGGAGCGAAAGCCAGGGGAGCAAACGGG